rnacentral:tRNA from 1 species
UGGCUCAAUGGUAGAGUGCUUGCCUUGCAUGCAUGAGGCCCUGGGUUCGAUCCCUCAG